GCCGGUGUAGCUCAACGGCAGAGCAACGGUUUUGUAAACCGUAGGUUGUAGGUUCGAAUCCCAUCACCGGCU
rfam:Candidatus Melainabacteria bacterium GWA2_34_9 gwa2_scaffold_20278, whole genome shotgun sequence.